rnacentral:lncRNA from 1 species
GCAAGGUUUUGAGGCCUAACAAAGAUUGGAAGGGCGGCCUGGAUAGCAGGUUGAGCCUCACACACAUUAAAAAUGGGACAGCUUGAAAGAUGCCAGAAGAAAUUAAAGGUGAGGCCUUCAGAUCUUUUUUCACCUUCAGAUCUUUUUUUCAACUACAGAAAGCAAGAGAAAAGUCCUAGAAUACUGAUGAAGUCAGAGGAAAACGCUUAUUGGUUCUAUGGCCAAAAACUUUGGUUUCUAUUCCAAGCAGAGGAAUCACGAUAAGUAAAGCAGGCAUGAAUUGAAAAAGCAAACUUGGAUGGGCAAAAGUUUUGAUUUGCAAUAUCUGGAGAUUGAUUGAUUUAUUUAUUUAUUUAUUUAUUUAUUUAUUAAUUAUUCAGACUUGUAUGCCGCCCCAUCUCCG